rnacentral:rRNA from 1 species
AUGUGGUUUAAUUCGAAGCAACGCGAAGAACCUUACCAGGUCUUGACAUCCCCUGACAACCAAGAGAUUGGGCGUUCCCCUUCGGGGGACAGGGUGACAGGUGGUGCAUGGUUGUCGUCAGCUCGUGUCGUGAGAUGUUGGGUUAAGUCCCGCAACGAGCGCAACCCUUGCCCUUAGUUGCCAGCGGGUAAUGCCGGGCACUCUAAGGGGACUGCCCGGAUAACGGGGAGGAAGGCGGGGAUGACGUCAAGUCAGCAUGGCCUUUAUGUCCAGGGCUACACACGUGCUACAAUGGGCGGUACAGAGGGAAGCAAAGCCGCGAGGUGGAGCUAAAUCCUUAAAGCCGUCCUCAGUUCGGAUCGCAGGCUGCAACUCGCCUGCGUGAAGUCGGAAUCGCUAGUAAUCGCGGAUCAGCUACGCCGCGGUGAAUACGUUCUCGGGCCUU